rnacentral:tRNA from 1 species
GUAAUGAAAAAAACCUAUUUUCUCAGGACA